rnacentral:rRNA from 1 species
ACGUAGGUGGCAAGCGUUGUCCGGAUUUACUGGGCGUAAAGAGCGCGCAGGCGGUCGGAUAAGUCGAGUGUGAAAGCCCCUGGCUCAACCAGGGAGGGUCAUUCGAUACUGUUCGACUCGAAGGCAGGAGAGGGAAGUGGAAUUCCGGGUGUAGUGGUGAAAUGCGUAGAUAUCCGGAGGAACACCAGUGGCGAAGGCGACUUUCUGGCCUGUUCUUGACGCUGAGGCGCGAAAGCUAGGGGAGCAAACGGGAUUAGAUACCCCGGUAGUCCUAGCCGUAAACGAUGGACACUAGGUGUUGGUGGUAUCAACCCCGCCAGUGCCGUAGCUAACGCAUUAAGUGUCCCGCCUGGGGAGUACGGCCGCAAGGCUA